GGCGACGAUCAGUAGGGGUUCUGGGAGGAAGGUCCCCCACAUUGGAACUGAGACGCGGUCCAAACUCCCACGGGAGGCAGCAGUGAGGAAUAUUGGUCAAUGGGCGAGAGCCUGAACCAGCCAAGUAGCGUGCGGGAUGACGGCCCUAUGGGUUGUAAACUGCUUUUAUAGGGGAAUAAAGUGAGCCACGUGUGGUUUUUUGCAUGUACCCUAUGAAUAAGGACCGGCUAAUUCCGUGCCAGCAGCCGCGGUAAUACGGAAGGUCCGGGCGUUAUCCGGAUUUAUUGGGUUUAAAGGGAGCGUAGGCCGGAGAUUAAGCGUGUUGUGAAAUGUAGAUGCUCAACAUCUGCACUGCAGCGCGAACUGGUUUCCUUGAGUACGCAUAAAGUGGGCGGAAUUCGUGGUGUAGCGGUGAGAUGCUUAGAUAUCACGAAGAACUCCGAUUGCGAAGGCAGCUCACUGGGGCGCAACUGACGCUGAAGCUCGAAAGCGCGGGUAUCGAACAGGAUUAGAUACCCUGGUAGUCCGCGCGGUAAACGAUGGAUGCCCGCUGUUGGGCCAACUGGUUCAGCGGCCAAGCGAAAGCAUUAAGCAUCCCACCUGGGGAGUACGCCGGCAACGGUGAAACUCAAAGGAAUUGACGGGGGCCCGCACAAGCGGAGGAACAUGUGGUUUAAUUCGAUGAUACGCGAGGAACCUUACCCGGGCUUGAAUUGCAGAGGAAGGAUUUGGAGACAAUGACGCCCUUCGGGGCCUCUGUGAAGGUGCUGCAUGGUUGUCGUCAGCUCGUGCCGUGAGGUGUCGGCUUAAGUGCCAUAACGAGCGCAUCCCCUCUCCAUAGUUGCCAUCAGGUGAAGCUGGGCACUCUGUGGACACUGCCACCGUAAGGUGCGAGGAAGGUGGGGAUGACGUCAAAUCAGCACGGCCCUUACGUCCGGGGCUACACACGUGUUACAAUGGCAGGUACAGAGAGCCGGUCGUAUGCAAAUACGAUCCAAUCCUUAAAGCCUGUCUCAGUUCGGACUGGGGUCUGCAACCCGACCCCACGAAGCUGGAUUCGCUAGUAAUCGCGCAUCAGCCAUGGCGCGGUGAAUACGUUCCCGGGCCUUGUACACACCGCCCGUCAAGCCAUGAAAGCCGGGGGCGCCUGAAGUCCGUGACCGCAAGGAGCGGCCUAGGGCGAAACUGGUAAUUGGGGCUAAGUCGUAACAAGGUA
rnacentral:rRNA from 1 species